rnacentral:rRNA from 1 species
CGAAAGUGACGGUACCUGCAGAAAAAGCACCGGCUAACUACGUGCCAGCAGCCGCGGUAAUACGUAGGGUGCAAGCGUUAUCCGGAAUUAUUGGGCGUAAAGAGCUCGUAGGCGGUUUGUCGCGUCUGCUGUGAAAACCCGAGGCUCAACCUCGGGCCUGCAGUGGGUACGGGCAGACUAGAGUGCGGUAGGGGAGAUUGGAAUUCCUGGUGUAGCGGUGGAAUGCGCAGAUAUCAGGAGGAACACCGAUGGCGAAGGCAGAUCUCUGGGCCGUAACUGACGCUGAGGAGCGAAAGGGUGGGGAGCAAACAGGCUUAGAUACCCUGGUAGUCCACCCCGUAAACGUUGGGAACUAGUUGUGGGGACCAUUCCACGGUUUCCGUGACGCAGCUAACGCAUUAAGUUCCCCGCCUGGGGAGUACGGCCGCAAGGCUAAAACUCAAAGGAAUUGACGGGGACCCGCACAAGCGGCGGAGCAUGCGGAUUAAUUCGAUGCAACGCGAAGAACCUUACCAAGGCUUGACAUAUACGAGAACGGGCCAGAAAUGGUCAACUCUU